GGGAUCAUUACCGAGUGUGGCGCUCCGGCGCCUCCCUCCACCCCAUGUCGAAACGACUCUGUUGCCUCGGGGGCGACCCGGCCUUCGGGCGUCGGGGCCCCCGGUGGACACCUUCAUAACUCUUGCAUCUCUUGCGUCUGAGUGAUACAUACAAUCAAUCAAAACUUUCAACAACGGAUCUCUUGGUUCUGGCAUCGAUGAAGAACGCAGCGAAAUGCGAUAAGUAAUGUGAAUUGCAGAAUUCAGUGAAUCAUCGAAUCUUUGAACGCACAUUGCGCCCCCUGGCAUUCCGGGGGGCAUGCCUGUUCGAGCGUCAUUACACCACUCAAGCCUGGCUUGGUAUUGAGCGCCGCGGCCUGCCCGCGCGCUCCAAUGUCUCCGGCUGAGCCGUCCGUCUCUAAGCGUUGUGAAUAGCGAUCGCUUGCGAGGCCCGGGCGGUUCGACGCCGUUAAACCCCCCAUUUUCUAUGGUUGACCUCGGAUCAGGUAGGGAUACCCGCUGAACUUAAGC
rnacentral:rRNA from 1 species